AAAUGCGAUAAGUAAUGUGAAUUGCAGAAUUCAGUGAAUCAUCGAAUCUUUGAACGCACCUUGCGUUCCUUGGUAUUCCUUGGAGCAUGCCUGUUUGAGUAUCAUGAAAUCUUCAAAGUAAAUCUUUUGUUAACUCAAUUGGUUUCUACUUUGGUAUUGGAGGUCUUUGCAGCUUCACACCUGCUCCUCUUUGUUCAUUAGCUGGAUCUCAGUGUUAUGCUUGGUUCCACUCGGCGUGAUAAGUUAUCUAUCGCUGAGGACACUGUAAAAGGUGGCCAAGGUAAAUGCAGAUGAACCGCUUCUAAUAGUCCAUUGACUUGGACAAUACUUUUAUGAUCUGAUCUCAAAUCAGGUAGGACUACCCGCUGAACUUAAGC
rnacentral:misc_RNA from 1 species